UACAGAGGGUGCGAGCGUUAAUCGGAGUUACUGGGCGUAAAGGGCGCGUAGGCGGUUUAUCAAGUGAGAUGUGAAAGCCCUGGGCUUAACCUAGGAAUUGCAUCUUAGACUGGUAGGCUGGAGUGCAGUAGAGGGUGGUGGAAUUUCCGGUGUAGCGGUGAAAUGCGUAGAGAUCGGAAGGAACAUCAGUGGCGAAGGCGGCCACCUGGACUGAGACUGACGCUGAGGCGCGAAAGCGUGGGUAGCAAACAGG
rnacentral:rRNA from 1 species